rnacentral:rRNA from 1 species
UGCCUAAUACAUGCAAGUAGAACGCUGAAGAGAGGAGCUUGCUCUUCUUGGAUGAGUUGCGAACGGGUGAGUAACGCGUAGGUAACCUGCCUUGUAGCGGGGGAUAACUAUUGGAAACGAUAGCUAAUACCGCAUAACAAUGGAUGACACAUGUCAUUUAUUUGAAAGGGGCAAUUGCUCCACUACAAGAUGGACCUGCGUUGUAUUAGCUAGUAGGUGAGGUAAUGGCUCACCUAGGCGACGAUACAUAGCCGACCUGAGAGGGUGAUCGGCCACACUGGGACUGAGACACGGCCCAGACUCCUACGGGAGGCAGCAGUAGGGAAUCUUCGGCAAUGGGGGCAACCCUGACCGAGCAACGCCGCGUGAGUGAAGAAGGUUUUCGGAUCGUAAAGCUCUGUUGUAAGUCAAGAACGGGUGUGAGAGUGGAAAGUUCACACUGUGACGGUAGCUUACCAGAAAGGGACGGCUAACUACGUGCCAGCAGCCGCGGUAAUACGUAGGUCCCGAGCGUUGUCCGGAUUUAUUGGGCGUAAAGCGAGCGCAGGCGGUUUGAUAAGUCUGAAGUUAAAGGCUGUGGCUCAACCAUAGUUCGCUUUGGAAACUGUCAAACUUGAGUGCAGAAGGGGAGAGUGGAAUUCCAUGUGUAGCGGUGAAAUGCGUAGAUAUAUGGAGGAACACCGGUGGCGAAAGCGGCUCUCUGGUCUGUAACUGACGCUGAGGCUCGAAAGCGUGGGGAGCGAACAGGAUUAGAUACCCUGGUAGUCCACGCCGUAAACGAUGAGUGCUAGGUGUUGGAUCCUUUCCGGGAUUCAGUGCCGCAGCUAACGCAUUAAGCACUCCGCCUGGGGAGUACGACCGCAAGGUUGAAACUCAAAGGAAUUGACGGGGGCCCGCACAAGCGGUGGAGCAUGUGGUUUAAUUCGAAGCAACGCGAAGAACCUUACCAGGUCUUGACAUCCCGAUGCUAUUUCUAGAGAUAGAAAGUUACUUCGGUACAUCGGUGACAGGUGGUGCAUGGUUGUCGUCAGCUCGUGUCGUGAGAUGUUGGGUUAAGUCCCGCAACGAGCGCAACCCCUAUUGUUAGUUGCCAUCAUUCAGUUGGGCACUCUAGCGAGACUGCCGGUAAUAAACCGGAGGAAGGUGGGGAUGACGUCAAAUCAUCAUGCCCCUUAUGACCUGGGCUACACACGUGCUACAAUGGUUGGUACAACGAGUUGCGAGUCGGUGACGGCGAGCUAAUCUCUUAAAGCCAAUCUCAGUUCGGAUUGUAGGCUGCAACUCGCCUACAUGAAGUCGGAAUCGCUAGUAAUCGCGGAUCAGCACGCCGCGGUGAAUACGUUCCCGGGCCUUGUACACACCGCCCGUCACACCACGAGAGUUUGUAACACCCGAAGUCGGUGAGGUAACCUUUUGGAGCCAGCCGCCUAA